GACGAACGCUGGCGGCGUGCCUAAUGCAUGCAAGUCGCACGCACACACCUUCGGGCGUGUGGGUGGCGCACGGCUGAGUAGCACGUGGGAACGUACCCGACUGUGGGGGAUAACGCCGCGAAAGCGACGCUAAUCCCGCAUAGCCUCUUUGGAAGAAAGCCGCAAGGCGCAGUCGGCGCGGCCCGCGGCCCAUCAGGUCGUUGGUAGGGUAAUGGCCUACCAAGCCGCUGACGGGUAGCUGGUCUGUGAGGACAGACAGCCAGACUGGGACUGAGACACGGCCCAGACUCCUACGGGAGGCAGCAGCAAGGAAUUUUCGGCAAUGGGGGCAACCCUGACCGAGCAACGCCGCGUGCGGGAUGACGGCCUUCGGGUUGUAAACCGCUUUUGGGGGGGACGACGAUGACGGUACCCCUUGAAUAAGGCUCGGCUAACUCUGUGCCAGCAGCCGCCGUAACAC
rnacentral:rRNA from 1 species